CAGCCGCCGCGGGAAUACGGAGGGGGCUAGCGUUGUUCGGAAUUACUGGGCGUAAAGCGCACGUAGGCGGCUUGGUAAGUUAGAGGUGAAAGCCCGGAGCUCAACUCCGGAAUUGCCUUUAAGACUGCCGAGCUAGCAGGUGAGAGAGGUAAGUGGAAUUCCGAGUGUAGAGGUGAAAUUCGUAGAUAUUCGGAAGAACACCAGUGGCGAAGGCGACUGACUGGACAAGUAUUGACGCUGAGGUGCGAAAGCGUGGGGAGCGAACAGGAUUAGAUACCCGGGUAGUCCCUGUCUCUUAUAC
rnacentral:rRNA from 1 species